GAAGAGAAAGAGAAAACGGCAUUUU
rnacentral:piRNA from 1 species